CCGGCGAGUAAAAAUGCUAUCCCCCCCCAGAUUUUUGGGGGUUCCUACGCCCAUGCUCCUGAGGCAUACCGGAGGCGAUUCCGGGACUCUACAAAACAACAUGUUGACUCUUACACAGAGUGGGCAUGCCACCUACAUCGCACAGCAUCCCACUGGAUCAAUGGAUGCCAGGCGGUAUCCGGGAAAGAGGUGCUGCAGUUAUUCCUGCUGGAGCACUUUUACAAUGUGCUGAAUCC